CCAUUUCCUACAGACCUGCUCCUCAGAGAGACAAGGCCAAGGACCUGCCACUGCCGCGUCUGUAGAGUACCUGCAGGAGGUGGCCAGGACUCGCCUGUGUCUUGACAGAGCUUCUGACCUCCUCUUGGAGUUUCAGGAGGGAUCAGAGCUGGCUGAGGAACAGCAGGGCUACCUGCAGCACGUCCAGCAGUUCUGCACCCAGGCAGGGAAUGACUGGCACCGCGUGUACCUGGUCCGGAGGCUUGCGAGCCUUCGUGGGAUGGAAUUUGUGCAAAGCCUCUCCAGGCAGGGCCAUCGAUACCAGUGGGUGUUUCCCAAGGGAGUCAUUGCACAGCAGGUGAGACGCAGGUUCCUGGCAGAGCGGGAAGCUAUGGGCACCACUCCUCACCCUCCCAGCCCUCACGACAGGCAGGACGCAGGCAGGCAUCUGGUCCUUGGUCUCUGCUUCAGGGUGGGCUUAGGCCACUUGCUAUAGGGCAAAGGUAGGCAUGGACACAUGUGUGUGCACACUUGUGUGUGUUUCUGGUUUGUUGUUCACCUGCAUUUUAUCUAGGCUUCACUUCGGGGAAAGUGAAUGAGUAUUUUUUAAAAAUAUUUGCUUCCAAUAAAUUAAAAGGUGACCUCUUGCAGGCUGUGUCUUGUACUCUGUGCCAGGCAGAGGUGGGUAUACUUGAAAGACAAGUGUAAUGGGUUUGGCUUUCAGGCUUCUCUGUUCCCAGUGCUCAAAAUUUGAAAAUUCUUACUGUCCUAGGGUUAAAAAAUAUGGCACUGCAGCUCCUGGCAUCUUUAAUAUGACCAACUGGGACUCAGAGAUGACAUGUUUUU
rnacentral:lncRNA from 1 species